rnacentral:rRNA from 1 species
CAGGACGAACGCUGGCGGCGUGCUUAACACAUGCAAGUCGAACGGGGAUAAGUUGGAAAGGCUCGGUCUGGAAGACUUAAUCGAGUGGCGGACGGGUGAGUAACGCGUGAGCAACCUGUCCCAGACAGGGGGAUAACACUUGGAAACAGGUGCUAAUACCGCAUAAGACCACGGGGUCACAUGGCUCUGGGGGUAAAAGGAGCAAUCCGGUUUGGGGUGGGCUCGCGUCCGAUUAGAUAGUUGGUGAGGUAACGGCCCACCAAGUCAACGAUCGGUAGCCGACCUGAGAGGGUGAUCGGCCACAUUGGAACUGAGAGACGGUCCAAACUCCUACGGGAGGCAGCAGUGGGGAAUAUUGGGCAAUGGGCGAAAGCCCUGACCCAGCAACGCCGCGUGAGUGAAGAAGGCCUUCGGGUUGUAAAGCUCUGUUAUAGGGGACGAAGGAAGUGACGGUACCCUAUAAGGAAGCCCCGGCUAACUACGUGCCAGCAGCAGC